ACGAACGUUGGCGGCGUGGAUUAGGCAUGCAAGUCGAACGAAUCUUGCUCGUGUAGCAAUACAUGAGCAAGAAGAGUGGCGAAAGGGGCAGUAAUGUUUGGAUAACCUACCCUGAGGUCGUGGAUAGCCUUCCUAACGGAUGGGUAAUACACGGCGUUGUACUGAAGAGGCAUCUCUUUGUUACCAAAGAAUUUCGCCUCAGGAGGGGUCCAAAUGAUAUUAGCUAGUUGGUGAGGUAACGGCUCACCAAGGCAUAGAUGUCUAGCGGGUGUGAGAGCACGACCCGCGUCACUGGCACUGAGACACUGGCCAGACUCCUACGGGAGGCUGCAGUCGAGGAUCUUUGGCAAUGGACGCAAGUCUGACCAAGCGACGCCGCGUGUGCGAUGAAGGCCUUCGGGUUGUAAAGCACUGUCGAGAGGGAGAAAGCCGCAAGGUUGAUCUAUCUCUGGAGGAAGC
rnacentral:rRNA from 1 species